UUCUGGCCAAUGAAUUCAAAGCUUCAUGCCUUGUUUGACCAUGCAGGCACAUUGAGGGGCAGUACAAGACACCUGACAUCUGGUGCUAAACCCCCAGCCCUCAAGGCUUUGCUCAUCUGACUCAACUUCCCAGACUCACAACAGGAGGAGUAGAGCAAGGGAUAAACUGGCCUGGCAGGAUUCAUGCCCUACCAAGCCACAAGCAUAUCAAGAGCCACCUCAACCCCCGAAUUAAGAGUAUAUUGCAAGAUCUCAACCUUUCGCUCAUACUGGAACUUCUUGAGCUCAGAGAUGAACAAAUUUGAUUUUGGUCUUCCAUGGAAUAAGAAAAGAGUCAAUCAAAUUGCAGAAAACUUUGGUUACCUACAAGUGGAGUGUAAAUGUUCCUCAGGAGGCUGCAUGGAUCACCUGCUGGGAUAUCAGUAAUGUGUAAUUUUGAAAGUGGCUGGGUUUCUUACUGCUGCUCCUUGAUAACAUCCUGUCACCAUCCAGAGGAGAACAUUGGAACAAUAUAAAGAGUCAUGCAUUGAACCAUGUGUGGUUGUAAUGCUUGCAGCAAAUGAGAAAUGCAGUACAGGAUUCCAGAAUUAAUAUUUCAAGCACUACAUUUUGUAGAUCAGUAGAGGAUGACUGAUUUUUUUUUUUACUUUGUUUUUUAUGCCUCUAAAACUUUUCAUUUUCUUUACCUGUAAUAAACAAUUCUAUGUUGA